GUGAAGCUGACCCCGCUCUCUGUGCACCUACUUUUGCUGCGUUUGGUGCUGAGCCUGAAGUCCCAGGACAGGCGGCUGAGGGGGAAAGAUGGUGUGAAUUGGGUGGGCAGAGACAACUGAAAGCCACAGGACCCGGUUGGCACCUUUUUGGCCGCCUGGGCCUUUGCCUGCAGCCCCGCUCCCUGGGUCACCCGAAGGAGGAGCUGGCGCUCUUACCGGGCGCAGAAGCACCCGACCUACGCUGGAGGAAACGGUCCCCCUGGGCAGGAGAAGCUUUGGGCUUGGCUGGAGCACACUCACGGAACCACGCCAACGCCUGGCCUGUAGCCAGCUCCCACCUCCCCUCCCACCUUCUAAAAUGCUUGCGGAUCUCACGUGGCCGACCCUAACCAGAUACACAUGGGGAAAGGAAUCAGGUGGCACACACACUGCCUUUACUCCAUAGAGAACUUCCAAUUGUGGGUUGAACUGUGGGAGGAACUUAGUUUAAAACAAAGAUGAUAACAGCCCUUUCCCAAAAGAAACCUUUCCUGGGGACUAGCCUGCUUUUGUGGGACCAACAGAUUAGCCACAAGAUUAGAAACUACGGUUGAAGAGUCACGCAGCGGGAGGCUACAGGAUUCUGACCCUUCCCAAACUGCUCCUGGCGAUAACAUCACCAUCGUAAAGCCUAAGAUCA
rnacentral:lncRNA from 1 species